AUAAGCGGAGGAAAAGAAACCAACAGGGAUUGCCUUAGUAACGGCGAGUGAAGCGGCAACAGCUCAAAUUUGAAAUCUGGCCCUCGGGUCCGAAUUGUAAUUUGUAGAGGAUGAUUUUGGUGCGGUAUCUUCCGAGUUCCUUGGAACAGGACGCCUUAGAGGGUGAGAGCCCCGUACGGUUGAAUGCCUAGCCUCUGUAAAUCUCCUUCGACGAGUCGAGUAGUUUGGGAAUGCUGCUCUAAAUGGGAGGUAAAUUUCUUCUAAAGCUAAAUAUUGGCCAGAGACCGAUAGCGCACAAGUAGAGUGAUCGAAAGAUGAAAAGCACUUUGAAAAGAGGGUUAAAUAGCACGUGAAAUUGUUGAAAGGGAAGGAUUUGUGACCAGACUUUUUCUGGGCGGAUCAUCCGGGGUUCUCUCCGGUGCACUUUGCCCAGUAAAGGCCAGCAUCGAUUUUCGGCGGCGGAUAAAAGCAGUGGGAAUGUGGCUCCCUACGGGGAGUGUUAUAGCCCAUUGUAUAAUACGCUGCUGGGGAUCGAGGUACGCGCUUCUGCAAGGAUGCUGGCGUAAUGGUUAUCAAUCACCCGUCUUGAAACACGGACCAAGGAGUCGAACAUUUAUGCGAGUGUUUGGGUGUUAAACCCUCACGCGUAAUGAAAGUGAACGGAGGUGAGAGCCCGUACGGGUGCAUCAUCGACCGAUCCUGAAGUUUUCGGAUGGAUUUGAGUAAGAGCAUAACUGUUCGGACCCGAAAGAUGGUGAACUAUGCGUGGAUAGGGUGAAGCCAGAGGAAACUCUGGUGGAGGCUCGCAGCGGUUCUGACGUGCAAAUCGAUCGUCAAAUCUGCGCAUGGGGGCGAAAGACUAAUCGAACCAUCUAGUAGCUGGUUACCG
rnacentral:rRNA from 1 species